ACUCCUACGGGAGGCAGCAGUGGGGAAUAUUGGACAAUGGGCGAAAGCCUGAUCCAGCCAUGCCGCGUGUGUGAAGAAGGUCUUCGGAUUGUAAAGCACUUUAAGUUGGGAGGAAGGGCAGUUACCUAAUACGUGAUUGUUUUGACGUUACCGACAGAAUAAGCACCGGCUAACUCUGUGCCAGCAGCCGCGGUAAUACAGAGGGUGCAAGCGUUAAUCGGAAUUACUGGGCGUAAAGCGCGCGUAGGUGGUUUGUUAAGUUUGGAUGUGAAAUCCCCGGGGCUCAACCUGGGAACUGCAUUCAAAACUGACUGACUAGAGUAUGGUAGAGGGUGGUGGAAUUUCCUGUGUAGCGGUGAAAUGCGUAGAUAUAGGAAGGAACACCAGUGGCGAAGGCGACCACCUGGACUGAUACUGACACUGAGGUGCGAAAGCAUGGGGAGCAAACAGGAUUAGAUA
rnacentral:rRNA from 1 species